rnacentral:rRNA from 1 species
GAUAAACGCUAGCGACAGGCCUAACACAUGCAAGUCGAGGGGCAUCACGUCUUCGGAUGGUGGCGACCGGCGCACGGGUGAGUAACACGUAUGCAACCUACCUGUAAGAGGGGAAUAACCCGGAGAAAUUCGGACUAACACCGCAUAAUACAUAAUUACCGCAUGGUAUUUAUGUUAAAUAUUUAUAGCUUACAGAUGGGCAUGCGUAUGAUUAGCUAGUUGGUGAGGUAACGGCUCACCAAGGCAACGAUCAUUAGGGGUUCUGAGAGGAAGGUCCCCCACACUGGUACUGAGACACGGACCAGACUCCUACGGGAGGCAGCAGUGAGGAAUAUUGGUCAAUGGGCGAGAGCCUGAACCAGCCAUGUCGCGUGAAGGAAGAAUGUCCUAUGGAUUGUAAACUUCUUUUAUACAGGAAUAAAGUGUACUACGUGUAGUAUUUUGAUGUACUGUAUGAAUAAGGAUCGGCUAACUCCGUGCCAGCAGCCGCGGUAAAACG